UGUGUUUCAAUUCACAGCUUAACUGUUGAUCUGGGAAAUCAAGCCAUGGUCUCAUAUGCACACUUCUCCAGACAACAUAAAAUUGUGAGAAGAAAGUCAGGUAUAGAAGGAUAAAUCAAUUCAUUUCCAUAAGAACAGAAGACAAGUGAGUUUUCUUCCCUCUCUCUUCAUUCAAGACAGAGGACAAGAUUAUAGAUUUUCACAGUAAAACAGUUGUAAAAAGAAGUCAACGCAGCAGUCAUGAAUCCACUGAGGUGUAAUGUCUUCAUGUACUCAGAGAAGCAUAUUUUUGCUUGAAAGUUUGCUUUAGUACGGGAAGAGACUCCAAUUAACUUCAGCAGCUUUGGGAUUGUACAAGGAUGAGAAAACCCACUGAAGACUAACAGAGUUGAAACACAAAGGGCACACAGUUAGGUAUGAGCUAAAAAGGUUUUUAGUACCUUUAACCUGAGCCAGA
rnacentral:lncRNA from 1 species